rnacentral:tRNA from 1 species
GGAGGCGUGCCCGAGCGGCCGAAGGGACCGGUCUUGAAAACCGUCGUGGCGUAACCCGUCACCGUGGGUUCAAAUCCCACCGCCUCCG